rnacentral:misc_RNA from 1 species
GUCAAAGGGUGUUGUAUGCAACUGCUGGAAUCUGAUAACAUUCAAAUCUGUCAAACCCGUAAUGGAACGCGGAGUAAAAAGGCAGCUUGACUAUGAAGAUUUACUUGAGCUACCCACUGAUAUGGAUCCUUCAUCCUGCCACACUUUGCUGUCAACAUGCUGGAAAGCUCAACAAAGAAAUGAAUAUUCUCAUCCUUCAUUAAUCAAAACAAUAUGUCGUGCAUUUGGAUGGCAAUAUUUCCGUUUAGGUCUUCUGAAGGUUCUUAAUGACUGUCUCAGUUUUGCGGGUCCAGUGCUUCUCAAUAAGUUGAUUAGCUUUCUACAGCAAGGUUCAAGAGACUAUGACGGCUAUAUUCUUGCACUGUCCUUGGGCCUUUCUUCUGUCUUGAAGUAACUUUUACUCUUCG